AUCCUAUACAGAUGUAUUCAACGCAAGCCAGUUGGGCAUCUCCCUGUAGGAUGAAGUUUAAUUAGAAACUCUGGCAACAAUUCUCAUUGUGUGGCUCUACGGUCGAAAUGGGAUGAGUUAGGGUGGAAUAGGUUAACCGUAAGACCUUGAGUUGCAAGACUCUAAAAUUGACCUAGAGGUGUGGAUUUCUUAAUUUUCGCAUUUUCUAGUUACGGCAUA
rnacentral:ncRNA from 1 species